GGAGAGGUGGCUGAGCGGUUGAAAGCACCGGUCUUGAAAACCGGAGUCCUUUUACGAGGACCGUGAGUUCGAAUCUCACCCUCUCCGCCA
rnacentral:tRNA from 1 species